AAAUGUCGAUCAGCAGGCACUUGCAGCAGGUAAGUAGGCACCUUUGUGCAUAAUUCAGGUGAGUACAGGGAACUCGAGGUCCAUAGGAACCCGGCACUGGCUUGGUUAGGUGAAGGAAAAUCCAGAAUCCGAAUCCCGAAGGAUUCGAAAACGGUUGUGCAGGAUCCUGAGUCCCACCGGCCGCCAAGAGUCACAAGCACACCCCCAAAUCACACACAACAGCCAACACUUCCCCACAGAAGCCAACGCCAGUCUAAAAUAUUUUUUUAGGCUCUGUAAAAAAUCCCAAACCCGGGCUACAGCCACACGGGCUGUUUUUCUCAGGGGUGUGUGAAGAAAAACCGAUGGUAGGUUAAGGUUUAGAUGUGGUGAGGGGGUAUAUUACUCUAAAAGUACACAUCUCAACGUCUGUAUGGACGGAGAAGAAAAAUUGAAUAAACAUAUAUUGUGCUCAGACGCAUCACCACCCUAAUGAUGCCGGCUGUUUAUUUUUAAAUGUCUUCAAAUUUUGUCAUUCAGGUCUGUCGCGACGCGUUUCGAACCUUCCCACAGUGUUCUCAUCAGGCGAAUUCAAUGACAAAAUGACUCUGACCCAGCUCGCUCCAGCAUUUAUGUGCCAGGAGGGCGGGGCUUCUCACCUCGCAACCAAUAGCAACCGAUAACCACCUUCAGCAUUGUAUGAUGCUUCAUGAAUUGUUUCUUUCACACACUAAUAAACUGUAUUGUUGUUUUUUAAUUUUUUACAGGUACUAGGCGAAUAAUGUCGAUCAGCAGGCACUUGCAGCAGGUAAGUAGGCACCUUUGUGCAUAAUUCAGGUGAGUACAGGGAACUCGAGGUCCAUAGGAACCGGCACUGGCUUGGUUAGGUGAAGGAAAAUCCAGAAUCCGAAUCCCGCAGGAUUCGAAAACGGUUGUGCACGGUCCUGAGUCCCACCGGCCGCCAAGAGUCACA